AGCGGCGGAUGGGUGAGUAACACGUGGGGAACCUGCCCCUAAGUCUGGGAUACCAUUUGGAAACAGGUGCUAAUACCGGAUAAUAAAGCAGAUCGCAUGAUCGGCUUUUGAAAGGCGGCGUAAGCUGUCGCUAAGGGAUGGCCCCGCGGUGCAUUAGCUAGUUGGUAAGGUAACGGCUUACCAAGGCGACGAUGCAUAGCCGAGUUGAGAGACUGAUCGGCCACAUUGGGACUGAGACACGGCCCAAACUCCUGCGGGAGGCAGCACUAGGGAAUCUUCCACAAUGGACGCAAAUCUGAUGGAGCAACGCCGCGUGAGUGAAGAAGGUUUUCGGAUCGUAAAGCUCUGUUGUUGGUGAAGAAGGAUAGAGGUAGUAACUGGCCUUUAUUUGACGGUAAUCAACCAGAAAGUCACGGCUAACUACGUGCCAGCAGCCGCGGUAAUACGUAGGUGGCAAGCGUUGUCCGGAUUUAUUGGGCGUAAAGCGAGCGCAGGCGGAAAAAUAAGUCUAAUGUGAAAGCCCUCGGCUUAACCGAGGAACUGCAUCGGAAACUGUUUUUCUUGAAUGCAGAAGAGGAGAGUGGAACUCCAUGUGUAGCGGUGGAAUGCGUAGAUAUAUAGAAGAACACCAGUGGCGAAGGCGGCUCUCUGGUCUGCAACUGACGCUGAGGCUCGAAAGCAUGGGUAGUGAACAGGAUUAGAUACCCUGGUAGUCCAUGCCGUAAACGAUGAGUGCUAAGUGU
rnacentral:rRNA from 1 species